CCACUCUCCCACUGUCGUGGUUCUCUGGGCCUGUCAUCGGCGCCAGAGCUAAGAGGGAAUCCGGUGAGCUCUCGCAUUUCGACAGAAGUGCGAUCGCGAAGCCGGAGCUGCCCCCGCAACUGUAAGCGGUGAGCCACCGUCCAUCUGCGUCACUGGGGCGAAAGCUUCGGGAAGGCCGGACGGUGAGCGAAGACCCGUGAGCCAGGAGACCUGCCGCGACACCAUAGUCGUC
rnacentral:ncRNA from 2 species